AUUGAACGCUGGCGGCAGGCCUAACACAUGCAAGUCGAACGAGUGGCAUGCGGGUGUGUAAUGUCUGGGAAACUGCCUUAUGGAGGGGGAUAACUACUGGCAACGAUAUCUAAUCCCGCAUACCAUCGGAUGUGCCCAGAUGGGAGUAGCUAGUAGGUGGGGUAAAGGCUCACCUAGGCGACGAUCCCUAGCUGGUCUGAGAGGAUGACCAGCCACACUGGAACUGAGACACGGUCCAGACUCCUACGGGAGGCAGCAGUGGGGAAUAGUGCACAAUGGGCGCAAGCCUGAUGCAGCCAUGCCGCGUGUAUGAAGAAGGCCUUCGGGUUGUAAAGUACUUUCAGCGGGGAGGCGUUACCCGCAGAAGAAGCACCGGCUAACUCCGUGCCAGCCGCCGCGGUAAUAC
rnacentral:rRNA from 1 species